UACGGAGGGUGCAAGCGUUGUUCGGAUUUACUGGGCGUAAAGCGCGCGCAGGUGGGUGUGCAAGUCGGAAGUGAAAGUCUCGAGGCUCAACCUCGAGGCUGCUCCCGAAACUGCUCGCCUAGGGACUGGUAGAGGCUGGUAGAAUUCCCGGUGUAGCGGUGGAAUGCGUAGAGAUGGGAAGAAUACCUGUGGCGAAGGCGGCCAGCUGGGCCGAGAUCGACACUGAGGCGCGAAGCGUGGG
rnacentral:rRNA from 1 species